rnacentral:rRNA from 1 species
CCUACGGGUGGCAGCAGUGAGGAAUAUUGGUCAAUGGGCGCGAGCCUGAACCAGCCAAGUCGCGUGAGGGAAGACGGCCCUCCGGGUUGUAAACCUCUUUUGCCGGGGAGCAACGGGCGCCACGUGUGGCGCCACUGCGAGUACCCGGAGAAAAAGCAUCGGCUAACUCCGUGCCAGCAGCCGCGGUAAUACGGAGGAUGCGAGCGUUAUCCGGAUUUAUUGAGUUUAAAGGGUGCGUAGGCGGGCUUUUAAGUCAGCGGUAAAAAUUCGGGGCUCAACCCCGUCCGGCCGUUGAAACUGGGGGCCUUGAGUGGGCGAGAAGAAGGCGGAAUGCGUGGUGUAGCGGUGAAAUGCAUAGAUAUCACGCAGAACCCCGAUUGCGAAGGCAGCCUUCCGGCGCCCUACUGACGCUGAGGCACGAAAGUGCGGGGAUCGAACAGGAUUAGAUACCCUUGUAGUC